GACCUGGUGGUGGAUGGAUCACACCCACUUUCCUUCGACAAGGAGGAUAGAGUCCGGUGGGAGUCCCCGGUUCGAUUCCGGGUCAGGUCA